CACCAGCCAGCAAGCCAGAGCAUGGCGGCCAUCCCCUCCAGCGGCUCGCUCCUGGUCACCUACGACUACUACCGGCGCCGCCUGGAUUCCACUUUCAGCAACAGCUCCUGCGGCAGUAUCGAGUGCCCCGGGGAAGCCAUUCCCCACCCCCUAGGUCUCCCCAAGGCUGACCCGGGUCACUGGUGGGCCAGCUUGUUUUUCAGGAAGUCCAGCCUCCCGUUCAUGGCCACGGUGUUGGAGUCCGCAGAGCACCCGGAACCCCCGCCCCCCGGCCCCCCAGGCCUCCAGCAGCAUGACCACCGGUGUUCUGGCUCGGGACGCCCCGAGUCCAGAAGUUAAGUCCCGCUGGUCUCCUACCUCAUUAGGAGUUGAGUCUGAUGUUGAUAAAUUUGAAAUUCCUCACUGUGUAGGUGACACGUUGAAAAUGUAUGAGAUCAGUAAAAUAGAUGAUGAAAACGGACAACAUAAAGCUAAUCAAACUAAGGGAGGAGAUAGUCAUAUACCUAGUGAUGUACAAGAUGUUGAUGUGAGUAACUACCCUGUGGAUCCAGAGGAGAAUAAAAUGUGA